rnacentral:rRNA from 1 species
GGGCCCGCACAAGCGGUGGAGUAUGUGGUUUAAUUCGAUGCAACGCGAAGAACCUUACCAGGGUUUGACAUCCUGCGAAUCUCUUGGAAACAGGAGAGUGCCUUCGGGAACGCAGUGACAGGUGGUGCAUGGCUGUCGUCAGCUCGUGCCGUGAGGUGUCAGGUUAAGUCCUAUAACGAGCGCAACCCCUGUGGUUAGUUGCCAGCGAGUCAUGUCGGGAACUCUAGCCAGACUGCCGGUGCAAACCGCGAGGAAGGUGGGGAUGACGUCAAAUCAUCACGGCCCUUACGUCCUGGGCCACACACGUGCUACAAUGGUAGGUACAGAGGGCAGCUACACAGCGAUGUGAUGCGAAUCUCAAAAAGCCUAUCGUAGUCCAGAUUGGAGUCUGCAACUCGACUCCAUGAAGUAGGAAUCGCUAGUAAUCG